rnacentral:rRNA from 1 species
AAGUCGAACGAAACUUCUUUAUCACCGAGUGCUUGCACUCACCGAUAAAGAGUUGAGUGGCGAACGGGUGAGUAACACGUGGGCAACCUGCCCAAAAGAGGGGGAUAACACUUGGAAACAGGUGCUAAUACCGCAUAACCAUAGUUACCGCAUGGCAACUAUGUAAAAGGUGGCUAUGCUACCGCUUUUGGAUGGGCCCGCGGCGCAUUAGCUAGUUGGUGGGGUAAAGGCUUACCAAGGCAAUGAUGCGUAGCCGAACUGAGAGGUUGAUCGGCCACAUUGGGACUGAGACACGGCCCAAACUCCUACGGGAGGCAGCAGUAGGGAAUCUUCCACAAUGGGCGAAAGCCUGAUGGAGCAACGCCGCGCGGGUGAAGAAGGUCUUCGGAUCGUAAAACCCUGUUGUUAGAGAAGAAAGUGCGUGAGAGUAACUGUUCACGUUUCGACGGUAUCUAACCAGAAAGCCACGGCUAACUACGUGCCAGCAGCCGCGGUAAUACGUAGGUGGCAAGCGUUAUCCGGAUUUAUUGGGCGUAAAGGGAACGCAGGCGGUCUUUUAAGUCUGAUGUGAAAGCCUUCGGCUUAACCGGAGUAGUGCAUUGGAAACUGGGAGACUUGAGUGCAGAAGAGGAGAGUGGAACUCCAUGUGUAGCGGUGAAAUGCGUAGAUAUAUGGAAGAACACCAGUGGCGAAAGCGGCUCUCUGGUCUGUAACUGACGCUGAGGUUCGAAAGCGUGGGUAGCAAACAGGAUUAGAUACCCUGGUAGUCCACGCCGUAAACGAUGAAUGCUAAGUGUUGGAGGGUUUCCGCCCUUCAGUGCUGCAGCUAACGCAAUAAGCAUUCCGCCUGGGGAGUACGACCGCAAGGUUGCAACUCAAAGGAAUUGACGGA